rnacentral:rRNA from 1 species
UGGAGGGGGCUAAACACAUGCAGUCGAGCGAAACGAGUUAACUGAACUUUCGUGGAACGAUAUCGGCGUCUAGGGGGGAGGGGUGAGUAAUGCCUAGGAAAUUGCCCUGAUGUGGGGUAUAACCAUUGGAAACGAUGGCUAAUACCGCAUGAUGCCUACGGGCAAAGAGGGGGACCUUCGGACCUCUCGCGUCAGGAUAUGCCUUGAUGGGAUUAGCUAGUUGGUGAGGUAAGGGCUCACCUAGGCGACGAUCCCUGGCUGGUCUGAGAGGAUGAUCAGCCACACUGGAACUGAGACACGGUCCAGACUCCUACGGGAGGAAGCAGUGGGGAAUAUUGCACAAUGGGCGCAAGUCAAAC